rnacentral:rRNA from 1 species
UACGUAGGUGGCUAGCGUUAUCCGGAUUUACUGGGCGUAAAGGGGGCGUAGGCGGUCUUUCAAGUCGGAUGUGAAAUCUCCCGGCUCAACUGGGAGGGGUCAUCCGAUACUGUUGGACUAGAGGGCAGCAGAGGAAAGUGGAAUUCCCGGUGUAGUGGUGAAAUGCGUAGAUAUCGGGAGGAACACCAGUGGCGAAGGCGGCUCUCUAGGCUGUUUCUGACGCUGAGGCUCGAAAGUGUGGGGAG